CGCACCUGGCCUACCUGACAAUUAGCACUAACCUCCGUUUCACAACACUAGUCAAUUUUGACCACCUUUUCUUUUUCUAAGGGGUGUACCCUUACUAAACUUUAGCAACUAAAGUUUAGCAACAAAUUUGCCAAACACCCUUGCUAAACUUUGUUAAACUAUGGUUGCUAAACUAUAGCCCUUUAGCAACCACUAAACUUGGAGCUGGACACCCUUUGCCCCUCAUUAUUGCUUAUUUGGACCCCCCCCUCUCUCCCCCCCUCACAUUAAAUAAGGACAAAC
rnacentral:lncRNA from 1 species